CUUUAGUGGACUUGGUCUCCUGCUUCUGCUAGUGCUAGCUUUAAACAUUUUAGGUUCUCAGCUCUAUAUAAACUAACAAUGCAUGCUUUCCUUUUCAAAAUACUUACUACUCAAGUAUAAGAGAUUUGGAUAACAAAAUAGAAUUGUUUCAGCUCAUAUCUCUUAGUUACGGUUUUCCAGAUCCAAUUUCAAUCAUCCACCAAACUAACAAGAAAACAAAUGGGGAUGAAUUUCUCUCAAGUACUACGGUUGCUAUGCAUGAUCCUCCUCUUAUCUCAAGUUGCUUGGAGUCAGAAUCCAUGCGAAGAAGAAAGAGGCCGGUUUUCAGAUUGUCCAAGGUCAAGGUCAAGGUCAACGCCGGUUUCCUACCAUCGAAAAAGGGGGCCCCCUUCAGGACUACCAUGAAAAGAAAAAGGGGGCCGCCUUCAGGACCACCAUCGAAAAAGAUCCUUCUAUCAGUGUAUUUAGUGAAUUAAGAUUAAAUUUUGAUUUACAUAUUCGAAUUAAUAUCCUUCUGUCACUGAUUCGGAAAAAUCAAAUAAGAUAAUAGUCUCUAGAAAUGAUUACCAUAUAACUUGUUUCUUUGCAUUCUACUUUGAAAAUUUUCAGCUAUCUAGUGUAAUUCAUCUUUUGUUCCAUCUGAGAUGAAUAAUUAUAAAAUUAAUGUUUGGUGAUU